GAGUUUGAUCCUGGCUCAGAACGAACGCUGGCGGCAGGCCUAAUACAUGCAAGUCGAGCGCAUCCUUCGGGAUGAGCGGCGGACGGGUGAGUAACGCGUGGGAAUAUGCCCUUCUCUAAGGAAUAGCCUCGGGAAACUGAGAGUAAUACCUUAUACGCCCUUCGGGGGAAAGAUUUAUCGGAGAAGGAUUMGCCCGCGUUAGAUUAGGUAGUUGGUGGGGUAAUGGCCUACCAAGCCUACGAUCUAUAGCUGGUUUGAGAGGAUGAUCAGCCACACUGGGACUGAGACACGGCCCAGACUCCUACGGGAGGCAGCAGUAGGGAAUCUUAGACAAUGGGGGAAACCCUGAUCUAGCCAUGCCGCGUGUGUGAUGAAGGCCUUAGGGUCGUAAAGCACUUUCGCCAGAGAUGAUAAUGACAGUAUCUGGUAAAGAAACCCCGGCUAACUCCGUGCCAGCAGCCGCGGUAAUACGGAGGGGGUUAGCGUUGUUCGGAAUUACUGGGCGUAAAGCGCACGUAGGCGGAUUAGUAAGUUAGAGGUGAAAUCCCAGGGCUCAACCCUGGAACUGCCUUUAAUACUGCUAGUCUUGAGUUCGAGAGAGGUAAGUGGAAUUCCRAGUGUAGAGGUGAAAUUCGUAGAUAUUYGGAGGAACACCAGUGGCGAAGGCGGCUUACUGGCUCGAUACUGACGCUGAG
rnacentral:rRNA from 1 species